rnacentral:tRNA from 1 species
GGCCGGUUAGCUACGUUGGUUAGAGCGUGGUGCUGAUAACACCAAGGUCGCGGGUUCAAUUCCUGCUCGGUCC